AUGAGUUCCAGGUGUAUAGAUCACAGGAUGGGCGUGAACCAGGAAGCAGCCCCACCCGACCUGGAAACAGACAUGGAACAGAAGGGGAGGGGGGAGAAAGCACCAGGGAAAACUCUGAACAGGUUGGCCUGGGUCUUUGUGUGCCUGUUCAAAACCAUUAAAACUGAGUUGUCUCCAUGGUCCCUCCUGUGAUGAUGGUAGAACCUUCAGCUGUCCCACGGAUCUUCUUCUUCUUCCAUGAAAAAUAGAUGAAAAUCCCACUGAAGAUAAAAAUCAUCACCAAUGCACGGAAGAAAAGUGUGAGGAGAACAUUAUCUGGAUAAACAUGGAGACAGAAAAGAAAUCUCAGUAAAAUAAACUCAUACAGGUGAGUGACAAUUGACAGAGUAACAGCUGUGAUCAUCAUAACAGGAUUGAACAUCAUAAAUUAAUUAACUAAUUAAUAAUAUAUUAAUAAACUGAGAUUAUAUGUUUUUGUUUCAUUUGUGGGUACAUAUAAAAACUAUAGUAACAUAGUUUGGGAUAUAAAAAUUAUGUAUUUGCAAAAUGUUAACAUUCUUCAAAACCAUCUGACGAAAUGGAAAAAUAUGAACAACAUCAAGCAUUUGUUGUCCUUACCUAGAGCUGAGACUUUUAUACAAACCGGUUUGUGAGCUGCAAACACCCACUGUCUUAUAUGGGUCCCAUUUGAUAAUUGACACUCAAUGAAAAUGUAGCCUAAAGGGAAGAAACUGUUCAACCGCUGACACAAAAGCAUCGAUGUCACAUUAAUGAAGAUGUUUCCAUCAUGUUGUCACUCACCACAGGUUGAAAUCAUCUCUGUUACUGAGGCUUCACUGACGUGAUUCCUGACUAAACACACCAGCCGUCCUGACACUGUUUGUUUCAGAAUGAUCUCAUUAGUCUCAUUAUUCCCAGAGAGGAGCUGAUCAUCUGUCAGUGUGUCUCCAUCCAGAGUCCAGCUGUACUGAGGACUGUCUCCAACAGAGGAGCAGGACAUCCUCUUCUCUCCCUGGGACAGACACUCAGACGUCAGCCGGACAGUCGACACAGGAGCUGAAACACAUGAACUUUGAUUAGAACAGAAAAUGAUCAGCUCUCUACACAGCAGAACAUGAAUCCUGUGUUAUAUGAGAGUUAGAAUAUGACAGGAAGAUUUAAUCAAAGCUCUCGGUCAAACGUACCUUGGAUGUUCAACUGUUGAGUCCGAACUGCUGUUCUCUCUCCAUCCUCUUUAAAUAUAUCAAGUGUAUAUUCACCACCAUCAGUUCUGCUCAGGCUGUUCAUCCUCAGUGUUCCAUUAUGGGAAAUAAACUCUAACCGGGUUGAUAAUCUAUUCAUCACAGGCCUGUUUCUAAUCUGAAUCAGAAUCAUUCCUUUUGAGUUCCACCAUUUGAAUGUCAGUAUCUCUGGGACUUUGUCCAUCAACUGCAGGACCAGAGUUCCUCCCAGAGCUCCAUAACACUGAGUUUUAUCCUGCCGGCCAUCACAGGAGGUUUCUACACCUGCACAACACACAAAUGACCAAAUCACAGCAAUAAAUAAACACCUAGCUGAGACCAUCAACAUCACGUGUUUUAAACGUGUCCACAGAUUUUGGGAUUAAAAUAUAAUGAGUUCAACAAGAGAGGCUCAACAAAGCAUCAUGAAUGUGCUACAAACUUUAAUUAGAAAUCAAACCCAUGGAUCACAUAAUCAAAUGUUUGUUUUAGUCUGACCAUCAAAUUAUAAUUUAAGAUAUUUGUUUUAUUCAAGGUUUCUUUCAAUGGCUCCUGUUGAGUAGCACAUCUAUUUAUUUAAAUGGUUCCUAUGAGUAAAAUAUUCUCUAAACUUCCCUCAGCCUGCUGACAUCUGAUCAGACUGGUCGUCUGUUUAACGGCUCACCCAGAGAGACUCUGACCAACAUCAGCAAUAGUCCCAUCACACUGGGAUGUCACCCUCCUUAACAACAUUCUCUGAGGUUGUUGUUGUUGUUGUUGUUGUGGUUGUUGGUUUAAUACACAAUGUGUUAUCUGCUACAAACACCCACUGUGUUAUGUUUGUCCCAUUUGAUAAUUGACACUCAAUGAAAACUUAGCCUAAAGGGAAGAAACUGUUCAACCACUGACACAAAAGCAUCGAUGUCACAUUAAUGAAGAUGUUUCCAUCAUGUUGUCACUCACCACAGGUUGAAAUCAUCUCUGUUACUGAGGCUUCACUGACGUGAUUCCUGACUAAACACACCAGCCGUCCUGACACUGUUUGUUUCAGAAUGAUCUCAUUAGUCUCAUUAUUCCCAGAGAGGAGCUGAUCAUCUGUCAGUGUGUCUCCAUCCAGAGUCCAGCUGUACUGAGGACUGUCUCCAUCAGAGGAGCAGGACAUCCUCUUCUCUCCCUGGGACAGACACUCAGACGUCAGCCGGACAGUCGACACAGGAGCUGAAAGAGACACACAUGAACUUUGAUUAGAACAGAAAAUGAUCAGCUCUCUACACAGCAGAACAUGAAUCCUGUGUUAUAUGAGAGUUAGAAUAUGACAGGAAGAUUUAAUCAAAGCUCUCGGUCAAACGUACCUUGGAUGUUCAACUGUUGAGUCCGUACUGCUGUUCUCUCUCCAUCCUCAUUAAAUAUUUCAAGUUUAUAUUCUCCACCAUCAGUUCUCCUCAGGCUGUUUAUCCUCAAUGUUCCAUUAUGGGAAAUAAACUCUGACCUCAUUGAUAAUCUAUUCAUCACAGGCCAGUUUCUAAUCUGAAUCAGAAUCAUUCCUUUUGGGUUUGACCAUUUGAAUGUCAGUUUCUCUGGGACUUUGUCCAUCAACUGGAGGACCAGAGUUCCUCCCAGAGCUCCAUAACACUGAGUUUUAUUCUGCCGGCCAUCACAGGAGGUUUCUACACCUGCACAACACACAAAUGACCAAAUCACAGCAAUAAAUAAACACCCAGCUGAGACCAUCAACAUCACGUGUUUUAAACGUGUCCACAGAUUUUGGGAUUAAACUAUAAUGAGUUCAACAAGAGAGGCUCAACAAGGCAUCAUGAAUGUGCUACAAACUUUAAUUAGAAAUCAAACCCAUGGAUCACAAAAUCAAAUGUUUGUUUUAAUCUGACUAUCAAAUUAUAAUUUAAGAUAUUUGUUGAGUAGCACAUCUAUUUCUUUAAAUGGUUCCUAUGAGUAAAAUAUUCUCUAAACGUCCCUCUGCCUGCUGACAUCUGAUCAGACUGGUCGUCUGUUUAACAGCUCACCCAGAGAGACUCUGACCAACAUCAGCAAUAGUCCCAUCACAGCCUUCAUGCCUCUGCAGUGUUUGGUCUCAGUUGAUCCACUCAGCAGGUCCCCAGAGAACGACCAGAAAUGCAGCAUGAACAACAGAGCGUGAGCGUCCUGUAACUUCUCCUGAUGAUGUGACCAGACUGAUAAAUUUGACUGACUGCUGCUUUUAUCUCUUCUUGAAUUCGUGCUAUAGAGAAGGAAGUGAUGUCACAUUCACUUCCUCUUUAGUCAGAACCAAAAAGGACAACAGUCU
rnacentral:lncRNA from 1 species